UGAUGUGUAUUUUUCCGACAGAAGAACCAGAAUACGAAUGCGAAGGAAACUGUGGUGGUACAUGUCGUAAACAUUGCAAACGCGGUGAACAAGAUGCGGAGCCCGUAGAUGAGUGUGUUGCAACGUGUCUACCUGGUUAUAGAUGUUGUGUGGCUGAUGAGGAAGCGUGUAAAAAUGAUUGUAAUGGGCAGUGCCGUAAAAAUCACUGCAACAGAGAUGAAUACGAGACUAAUGAACCAAGCUGUGUAAAAGAUUGUAAUGAUAAAAAAGGUCGGAUAUGCUGUGUUCCAUGAUAUCACUACCAGGUAUCCAUAAAUAACCAGCGAGAUCUAUAGUUUGUCUUAUGUAAAGAAUAAAUUUAGAACUUAGAUUAUGAAUAAAGCAUAUAAAAAGCA
rnacentral:lncRNA from 1 species